rnacentral:snoRNA from 1 species
CUUCCGUGAUGAUACGAUGACGAGUCAGAAGGGAUGUCCUUGUGCCAUAGCAGCCUGUUCGGUGCCACGUUCUGUGGGGCUGUGCUAAGGCUGCCUUGGGCAGGAUGUCCCGCUCCUUGGAUGAUUUAGAGGCAUUUGUCUGAGAAGG